rnacentral:pre_miRNA from 1 species
AUCACCUGCAAAUCUUAUUGAAAUGCAGAUUCUUAUUCAGCCAUCUGGGGUUGGGCCUGAGAUUCUGCUUUUCCAAUAAGUUCCUAAGUGAUGCUGU